rnacentral:lncRNA from 1 species
UCCUUCCUGUGUCGUUAACUCAAUCUCAUCACGAGAAUAAUGCUAUAAAAGAUUUCAUGGUAAAUUUUUGGAGACUUAUUCUAGCCUACUCCUCUAGCUAUACUUAAAAUUGUAGCUAAGUCAAAACUGUUAAAUGAACAGAUAGAACAAUUUAUAUUAACCUAAUAUACUUGGCAUAAGGCAAUGCACAUUGUAAUCAACAUGACAAGCAGAUAAAUGUUCUACACAAACCAAAGAUGAAAAGUUACUGAACCAGUCUGCUGGAACUUUGUAAAGCCAGAACCAUAGCAGUCAGAAGAGGGGUCAUAGGCGUGUAUCCAGCUCACUCGAGGUUGUAGGUUUUUGACUGAAGAUGCCUCUACAUUUUGCAUUUCUCUGCCUUCAGAAACUAUCUUCUUCUUUAAUAUACAUGUGACUUUUUCAUCGUGAGGUAGUGACAGUUACGAACCAAAAACAUCUUUUGACUCCUUCUGAAACUCAGAUGGCUUUCCAUCCAGUUGUAGACAGGUGGGUGAAGGUGGUCAGAAGUCCCACAUUGGGUUGGAAGAAACCCAUGGUCAAGGAACCCAACACAAGUCACAAAGGCUCUUCUGAGCUCAGAGAAAGCCUGGAAGACACACAUACUUCAUGGAAAGAUUAUCUGAAGGGAUUUAUUUUUUUAUGUCCCUGUUUUUUCUUCUGAUAAUAUUAAUUGCUGUACACACGACCAAGCCAUGAGGUUAUAUUUAUUCAGAAAAGUACAAAAUAACUGUGACCCGAUGGUUUUCUAUCCUGGUGGGAGUGAAAAGAAAACAUUCCUUUCACUUAUUCAUCAAAUGAUACUAGGCACUCAGAACUAAAUUGUUUAUGCAAUAAAUACUUAUGAACGAGUAGGUUUUGGCCACUACCGCCA